AUUGAACGCUGGCGGCAUGCCUUACACAUGCAAGUCGAACGGAAACGGGCCUUCGGGUGCCGCCGAGUGGCGAACGGGUGGGUAAUACAUCGGAACGUGCCCGAGCGUGGGGGAUAACGAGGCGAAAGCUUUGCUAAUACCGCAUACGAGCUACGGAUUAAAGCAGGGGACCGCAAGGCCUUGCGCGGACGGAGCGGCCGAGGGCAGAUGAGGCAGAUGGGGGGAUAAAAGGUUACCAAGCGGGGGAGCUGUAGCUGGUCUGAAAGGAUGAACAGCCACAUGGUGACUGAGACACGGCCCAGACUCCUACGGGAGGCAGCAGUCGGGAAUUUUGGACAAUGGGCGAAAGCCUGAUCCAGCCAUGUCGCGUGAAGGCUGAAGGCCUCCGGGUUGGAAACUGCUUUUGUCCGGAACGAAAAGCAUUCUUUUAAUACAGGACGGUAAUGACGGUACCGGAAGAAUAAGCACCGGCUAACUUCGUG
rnacentral:rRNA from 1 species